UGGGCUUAAAGNGUCCGUAGCUUGUUNGGAAAGUCUCUGGUGAAAUCCUGCAGCUUAACUGUAGGGAUUGCCGGAGAAACUNUCNGACUAGAGGACGGGAGAGGUCGGAGGUACUUCUGGGGUAGGGGUGAAAUCCUAUAAUCCUAGAAGGACCAACAGUGGCGAAGGCGUCCGACAUGAACGUGCCUGACAGUGAGGGAACGAGAGCCAGGGUCGCGNAACGGAUUAGAUACCCGUGUAGUCCUGGCNGUAACGAUGUUGACCUAGGUGGG
rnacentral:rRNA from 1 species